GCCUGGGUGGCUCAGUCGGUUGAGCCUCUGACUUCAGCUCAGGUCAUGGUCUCAGGCUCGUGAGUUCGAGCCCCACAUCGGGCU
rnacentral:tRNA from 1 species